rnacentral:rRNA from 1 species
CCUACGUGGUGCAGCAGUGAGGAAUAUUGGUCAAUGGGCGCGAGCCUGAACCAGCCAAGUAGCGUGAAGGAUGACUGCCCUACGGGUUGUACACUUCUUUUAUAAAGGAAUAAAGUGAGGCACGUGUGCCUUUUUGUAUGUACUUUAUGAAUAAGGAUCGGCUAACUCCGUGCCAGCAGCCGCGGUAAUACGGAGGAUCCGAGCGUUAUCCGGAUUUAUUGGUUUUAAAGGGAGCGUAGAUGGGUUGUUAAGUCAGUUGUGAAGGUUUGCGGCUCAACCGUAAAAUUGCAAUUGAUACUGGCAGUCUUGAGUACAGUUGAGGUAGGCGGAAUUCGUGGUGUAGCGGUGAAAUGCUGAGAUAUCACGAAGAACUCCGAUUGCGAAGGCAGCUUACUAAACUGCCACUGACAUUGAUGCGCGAAAGUGUGGGUAUCAAACAGGAUUAGAUACACGAGUAGUC